UACGUAGGGGGCAAGCGUUGUCCGGAAUUAUUGGGCGUAAAGAGCGUGUAGGCGGCCAGAUAAGUCCGCUGUGAAAUCUCGAGGCUCAACUUCGAGCUGUCGGUGGAAACUAUCUGGCUAGAGUCCGGAAGAGGAGAAUGGAAUUCCUGGUGUAGCGGUGAAAUGCGCAGAUAUCAGGAAGAGCACCCGUGGCGAAGGCGGUUCUCUGGGACGGUACUGACGCUGAGACGCGAAAGCGUGGGGAGCGAACAGG
rnacentral:rRNA from 1 species